UACGUAGGGUGCAAGCGUUAAUCGGAAUUACUGGGCGUAAAGCGUGCGCAGGCGGUUUUGGAAGUCUGACGUGAAAUCCCCGGGCUUAACCUGGGAAUUGCGUUGGAGACUGCAAGGCUGGAAUCUGGCAGAGGGGGGUAGAAUUCCACGUGUAGCAGUGAAAUGCGUAGAGAUGUGGAGGAACACCGAUGGCGAAGGCAGCCCCCUGGGUCAAGAUUGACGCUCAUGCACGAAAGCGUGGGGAGCAAACAGG
rnacentral:rRNA from 1 species